CUGGUGCAUCAGUGCAUUAGUGCAUGCUGUAAUUGGAAUGAGUACAAUUUAAAUCCCUUAACGAGGAACAAUUGGAGGGCAAGUCUGGUGCCAGCAGCCGCGGUAAUUCCAGCUCCAAUAGCGUAUAUUAAAGUUGUUGUGGUUAAAAAGCUCGUAGUUGAACCUUGGGCCUGGCUGGCCGGUCCGCCUCACUAGCCCUGAAAAUGG
rnacentral:ncRNA from 1 species